rnacentral:rRNA from 1 species
UUGGAGGGCAAGUCUGGUGCCAGCAGCCGCGGUAAUUCCAGCUCCAAUAGCGUAUAUUAAAGUUGCUGCAGUUAAAAAGCUCGUAGUUGAAUUUCGGGACCAUCAUGUCGGUCGUGCCUCGGUACGUACUGGUAUUGUUGGUUUCUCCCUUCUGACGAACCAUGAUGUCAUUUAUUUGGUGUUGUGGGGAAUCGGGACUGUUACUUUGAAAAAAUUAGAGUGUUUAAAGCAGGCUCACGCUUGAAUACAUUAGCAUGGAAUAAUGAAAUAGGACGUUUGAUUCUAUUUUGUUGGUUUCUAGGAUCGACGUAAUGAUUAAUAGGGAUAGUUGGGGGCAUUAGUAUUCAAUUGUCAGAGGUGAAAUUCUUGGAUUUAUUGAAGACUAACUACUGCGAAAGCAUUUGCCUAGGAUGUUUUCAUUAAUCAAGAACGAAAGUUAGGGGAUCGAAGACGAUCAGAUACCGUCGUAGUCUUAACCAUAAACUAUGCCGACUAGGGAUCGGAUGAUGUUAAUUUUUUAAUGACUCAUUCGGCGCCUUACGGGAAAC